rnacentral:rRNA from 1 species
GACGAACGCUGGCGGCGUGCUUAACACAUGCAAGUCGAACGGAAAGGCCCUGCUUUUGUGGGGUGCUCGAGUGGCGAACGGGUGAGUAACACGUGGGUAACCUGCCCUUGACUUUGGGAUAACUUCAGGAAACUGGGGCUAAUACCGGAUAGGAGCUCCUGCUGCAUGGUGGGGGUUGGAAAGUUUCGGCGGUUGGGGAUGGACUCGCGGCUUAUCAGCUUGUUGGUGGGGCAGUGGCUUACCAAGGCUUUGACGGGUAGCCGGCCUGAGAGGGUGACCGGCCACAUUGGGACUGAGAUACGGCCCAGACUCCUACGGGAGGCAGCAGUGGGGAAUAUUGCACAAUGGGCGGAAGCCUGAUGCAGCAACGCCGCGUGCGGGAUGACGGCCUUCGGGUUGUAAACCGCUUUCGCCUGUGACGAAGCGUGAGUGACGGUAAUGGGUAAAGAAGCACCGGCUAACUACGUG